CAACGAAUAUUCCGCAAUGGGCGCAAGCCUGACGGAGCGACGCCGCGUGGGGGAUGAAGUCCUUCGGGAUGUAAACUCUAAUAGUAUGUUAGGAAGCGAGUCGACCUAACACGUCGGCAAGUUGACCGACAUACGAAAGGGGCGGCUAACUCCGUGCCAGCAGCCGCGGUAAGACGGAGGCCCCGAGCGUUGUUCGGAAUCACUGGGCUUAAAGCGCGUGUAGGCGGGACGGUAAGUACCUUGUGAAAUCCCCGGCUUCAAUCCGGGAACUGCUCGGUAUACUACCGUUCUUGAGGCAGGUAGGGGUCACUGGAACCUUAGGUGGAGCGGUGAAAUGCGUAGAUAUCUAAGGGAACGCCUGUGGCGAAAGCGGGUGACUGGGCCUGUCCUGACGCUGAGACGCGAAAGCGUAGGGAGCAAACG
rnacentral:rRNA from 1 species